rnacentral:sRNA from 3 species
AUUCUGCCCAAGCGGGGAAGGAUGAGAAGCUUCGACCAAGGUUCGACUUGAGCGCCAGCGAGAGAGCGUUGCCGCAGGCAACGACCCGAAGGGCGAAGCGCGCAG